UGGGGAAUUUUGGACAAUGGGCGAAAGCCUGAUCCAGCAAUGCCGCGUGUGUGAAGAAGGCCUUCGGGUUGUAAAGCACUUUUGUCCGGAAAGAAAUCCUUGGCUCUAAUACAGUCGGGGGAUGACGGUACCGGAAGAAUAAGCACCGGCUAACUACGUGCCAGCAGCCGCGGUAAUACGUAGGGUGCAAGCGUUAAUCGGAAUUACUGGGCGUAAAGCGUGCGCAGGCGGUUUGCUAAGACCGAUGUGAAAUCCCCGGGCUCAACCUGGGAACUGCAUUGGUGACUGGCAGGCUAGAGUAUGGCAGAGGGGGGUAGAAUUCCACGUGUAGCAGUGAAAUGCGUAGGGAUGUGGAGGAAUACCGAUGGCGAAGGCAGCCCCCUGGGCCAAUACUGACGCUCAUGCACGAAAGCGUGGGGAGCAAACAGGAUUAGAUACCCUGGUAGUCCACGCCCUAAAACGAUGUCAACUAGUUGUUGGGGAUUCAUUUCCUUAGUAACGUAGCUAACGCGUGAAGUUGACCGCCUGGGGAGUACGGUCGCAAGAUUAAAACUUAAAGAAUUGACGGGGUCAUAGCUGUUUCCU
rnacentral:rRNA from 1 species